rnacentral:rRNA from 1 species
AUUGAACGCUAGCGGCAUGCUUAACACAUGCAAGUCGAACGGCAGCGCCGCUUUCGGUGUGUCCUCGAGUGGCGAACGGGUGAGUAACGCAUCGGUAACUUCCCAUUAGCUUUGGAAUACCUUCAGAAAACUGGGGCUAUUCCCCAAACGGCGCUCCUGCGGCAUGGGGGGGGUUGGAGAGUUUCGGCGGUUGGGGAUGGACUCGCGGCGUAUCAGCUUGUUGGUGGGGUAGUGGCUUACCAGGGCGUUUCCGGGUAGCCGGCCUGAGAGGGUGACAGGCGGCACUGGGACCGAGGGAAGGCCGAGAUGGGGAAGGGAGGAAGCAGGGGGGAAUAUUGAACAAGGGGUGCAGGGCUGAUGCAGCAAGGCUGCGGGCGGUAUGACGGCCUUCGGGGGGUAAACCGGUUUCGCGCAAGACGAAGCUUGGUGUGACGGUAGUGGGUAAAGAAGCACCGGCUAACUACGUG